UUUCCCCACUGUUCAUUAUUUACGGGCGCUGUUAAAUGUGCCCGCGUUUCCGAAGCGCUCCUGAACGCACCGCUCCUCACAUGAGGGAGCGGAUGUAAACAGCAGAAAGAACGCAGCAGAUCGACUCACCGGCAGUCAGCCUCAGUUUCGUUUUGGUGAGUAGAGACCUAGGGCAGUUCCACGGUGACUUCUUGGUCCCAAGCCGUUCUCUCAGCUCUGCCUCUCCGCGUUCACGACUGGCGAGUGCUUUGCAUCUGCACACCUGCCUCACUCUCACUGAUUACACGGACGGCACACCUGGCGCUUCGCAGCGCAGACCAAUAACAGGAGGCCGGAGACUUUGGGAUCUCUUCAGGGUUGGAUGUGACCAAACAAGCUAAAAAUAAAAGAGGCAUCAUCUGAAGGCCUAAUCUAAGCAGGUUGUCAGUCUGGCGUCAUAAAGGCUC